GACGAACGCUGGCGGCGUGCCUAAUACAUGCAAGUAGAACGCUGAAGAGAGGAGCUUGCUCUUCUUGGGUGAGUUGCGAGCGGGUGAGUAACGCGUAGGUAACCUGCCUUGUAGCGGGGGAUAACUAUUGGAAACGAUAGCUAAUACCGCAUAACAAUGGAUGACACAUGUCAUUUAUUUGAAAGGGGCAAUUGCUCCACUACAAGAUGGACCUGCGUUGUAUUAGCUAGUAGGUGAGGUAAUGGCUCACCUAGGCGACGAUACAUAGCCGACCUGAGAGGGUGAUCGGCCACACUGGGACUGGGACACGGCCCAGACUCCUACGGGAGGCAGCAGUAGGGAAUCUUCGGCAAUGGGGGCAACCCUGACCGAGCAACGCCGCGUGAGUGAAGAAGGUUUUCGGAUCGUAAAGCUCUGUUGUAAGUCAAGAACGGGUGUGAGGGUGGAAAGUUCACACUGUGACGGUAGCUUACCAGAAAGGGACGGCUAACUACGUG
rnacentral:rRNA from 1 species